UGACUGAAGCUCCUCCUUGACAAACAAAGCAAACAUUGAAGCUUUACAUAGACCUUCCGGGCAACACUCAUCUUGGAGUGUUUUACUCUUGAAGUGAUAAUUCCCUAUGAAAUCCAUUAGGUCGCCUCGAACUCCAGCUUCUUCGAUGGCUUCCCUCACUGCAGCCUCUUUAACAGUUUCAUCAUUCUCCCACCCUCCCUUUGGAAAAAG
rnacentral:misc_RNA from 1 species